UUUUAUUUUGGGACCGGACACACUAUUAUAUAAAGAGGAUCUGUGAGUGUUACUUGGUCUUGUAAGCUAUUUUUCUUUUUUUCAGCAAAAUGUUGUGAGCACCUACCAUAUGCCAGGCACUGUUCAGUGAACUGGUUGUACAGGAGUGAAUGAGAUCAUCUUGAUUUUGAGAAGUUUAUAAUCUACUCAAGGGAAACACGUGUAAUCAACUAUGUUUCAGACAUAACCCCUCAAAACCAAAGCAGAACCUCUUCAAGGAGCUGAGAGAUGCAAGCCUGGAGGAGAAAAGCGGGGCAGCAUCAAACCCCUCCCACUGGGGCAACCUGCUGAGCAUCUCCCUGGCCUUGGCCCCUGGCCAUACCACACAAGUGUCCAAUGAGUCACUGAUCCUGAAGAACAAGAGAAGACUGACCACAGACCCCAAAAGGAAGCAGGAGUACAACCUUCGAAGUUGGUGGGCAACAAGAGGUCAGAGGUUGACAAGCAUCCACACAGCUCUAAGACUAGCAUCAUGUGGCUACCCAGGACCUGGGAGAGUGCUGCAGAGCAGGAGCAGGAAAGGGACCGGCUGUUCCCAUAGAACUUCAUGUCACAGGUCUGGGAGCCAGGGGGCCUUGGUUCUAGUCCCAACUCUCCCUCUAAGUUGUCUUAUGGCCACAGGUGAGUGAAAUAGCUUCUCUGGCCUCAGCUUCCUCACGAUUAAAAUGACACAGUUGUGCAAAA
rnacentral:lncRNA from 1 species